AUACUUACCUAGAAGAAGAGAUGUCAUAAUCACAAAGGUUGUUUUCCCAAGGUGAGGCUUAUCCACUACAUCCAGAACAUAUAUUCUGACCCCUACAAUUUCCCCAAAUUCAGGAAACUCAACUGCAUACUUGGUGGUAGUGAGGAACUGUAUUUAUGCUCUCCUGU